rfam:Spinacia oleracea cultivar SynViroflay scaffold15420.con0009.1, whole genome shotgun sequence.
GUUGCUUCUUUGAUUCGUGAAUUGAGUGACUGCAUAUUUGGUUAGUCUCUCUUUUUGUUGGAAGCAUAAAGCAAAUUUGCCCAGGAUUAAACAUCACAAUGAUUACUGUGUCAUUGUGUUACCUGUCUCCUGGUAUAUGA